CUGGCGGCGUGCCUAAUACAUGCAAGUCGAACGGCUUUCCAUGGAAGCUUGCUUCCACUGAGAAGAUAGUGGCGAACGGGUGAGUAACACGUGGGUAACCUGCCCAUAAGAGGGGGGAUAACAUCCGGAAACGGGUGCUAAUACCGCAUAGUUUUCUUGAUCGCAUGAUCGGGAAAGGAAAGACGGCCUUUGUGCUGUCGCUUAUGGAUGGACCCGCGGCGUAUUAGUUAGUUGGUGAGGUAACGGCUCACCAAGACGAUGAUACGUAGCCGACCCGAGAGGGUGAUCGGCCACAUUGGGACUGAGACACGGCCCAAACUCCUACGGGAGGCAGCAGUAGGGAAUCUUCCGCAAUGGACGAAAGUCUGACGGAGCAACGCCGCGUGAGUGAAGAAAGGUUUUCGGAUCGUAAAACUCUGUUGUCAGAGAAGAACAAGUUGGAGAGUAACUGCUCCAGCCUUGACGGUGUCUGACCAGAAAGCCACGGCUAACUACGUGCCAGCCGCGGC
rnacentral:rRNA from 1 species